ACUGGGAAUGAGGUGGUGGCAGACACACCAUCCAGACACGAAGAAACCAGAAAGGACCACGAGAUGACACCAGAGGGUGCUGGCCUAGGAAGAAGAAAGAUCCCUCUCCUGAGGCGUCGCCAAGGGCCACCCCUCAGGCUGCCACCACCUCUGGAACUGAGCUAUAAGAUCACCAGGGAGCACAUAGCUCAGGAGAAGGAGGCAGCAUUCCAGCUUGUGAAUGCCAGGCUGAUGGGUAAGUUGCAGGCCCUAGACAUCAGCAGCACCACACAGCCUGUCUGCCCUCCUCCCCUGCCUGCCCCAGGUACUGCUCCUGAACCCUUGAUCUCUGCGGGGGAGAGUAACCACAGAAAGCAGCAGGACUCCACCCUCACCAGUAGCCCUCAGCCUUCCUGCUCUGCUUCCCAGCCUCUGCCAGGCACUGAUCCACCCAUGAUCCCUGCAGGGAAAGGUGACUUUGGCACUACCCAGUGGCAGCACUGCCAUAGACACAUCCUGUGCUCCUGUCUUGGGCACUGACACUGGCAAGGAAACUAUGGAUACCACGUCUCCAACCUGAUCCUCUCACCCACUUCCUCCGCCUGGCACCAGUGGGACCUCCUUCCUCUGCACUGUUGACUGUGGCACUGCCCAGUGGCAGCACAGCCGUGGGCUGUCUUUCCCAGGUCACAUCCCAAGGCAAAGCCCUGGCCCCCACCAUCCAAGUGGCAGAGCAUAGCAGAUGUGGACGCAGGUCCUCUCAUUCUUCAUCCUCAUGAGCCCUGUCCAAUGCCUGCACCCUACUAAGUGCAAGGGAGACUGGCAGCUCCAUGGCUGAGCCACGCCCAGCCAUGCGCCCUUCUGUGUGGAGGCAUGAGAGUACCCAGGUGGAACAGAAGGAUGGCCUACAGGACACACAGGUACAGGCUAGAGGAAGGGGCUGCUGGCUCAUACAAUCUGCAGGUCUGCCACAUGCAGGCCAGGAGGGAACACCUGCUGUGUGGAGCGGUGCAAGCACCCAUCCUUCUGUUGGUCCAACAAUGCUAACAGUGAACCCCAAGUCACCCAGACAAGCUGAGCUCCAGACACGUGCCACUGGCAGAUGGUAAGGAGCAAACACCGUUGUGUAUGGGAGGGAAAGAGGACAUUUUAAACAAAGUGACCAAGGAGGCCUGGCAGGAAGGUGACAUUGGGAGAUACCCAGGUGGGAGAGGUUCAGUCACCAGAGAUAAGGAGCCAGGUGGUAUAACUCAGGUAGGAGUAGCCCAGAAGCUCAGGGCCAUGGGACUGAGUGUGGUGACAGUAGAAGAAUCCAGGAGAGAGAGGGGUCCAAAGGCAGCAGGCCAAGAGAGUUUGCAGGGGAAGCAGGAGUGGGGGCACCGAGGUGCAAGGCAUGGGAGGGACCGGCUGUGCCCCAGGCUUCACACAC